rnacentral:misc_RNA from 1 species
AAAGUCGUAACAAGGUUUCCGUAGGUGAACCUGCGGAAGGAUCAUUAACAAAUGCUAAAAGCAUCCACCUUUUGUGAACUUGACCAACUGUCCCUUUGGCACGGCUUCAACUAGCAUUAAUGUUUGUUGACUUCCGUCUGAGCCGCGACUUUUAACUUUUUGUGGAAAGUUGCCGCCUGGGCGCCGAAGCGGCCUGCCGAAGGAUUUCAAACCACACAUGUAUCAAAUUUUUUAGCCUGAAAAUAUCUAUUUCUCAAAAAGAAAUAAAAAUCUUAAUAAAAAACAACUUUUAACAACGGAUCUCUUGGCUCUC